AUAUUGGACAAUGGGCGGAAGCUCAUCCAGCCUAUGCCGCGUGUGUGAAGAAGGCCUUUUGGCUGUAAAGCACUUUAAGCGAGGAGGAGGCUCCUUUAUUAAUACCUAAAGAGAGUGGACGUUACUCGCAGAAUAAGCACCGGCUAACUCUGUGCCAGCAGCCGCGGUAAUACAGAGGGUGCGAGCGUUAAUCGGAUUUACUGGGCGUAAAGCGUGCGUAGGCGGCUUUUUAAGUCGGAUGUGAAAUCCCUGAGCUUAACUUAGGAAUUGCAUUCGAUACUGGAAAGCUAGAGUAUGGGAGAGGAUGGUAGAAUUCCAGGUGUAGCGGUGAAAUGCGUAGAGAUCUGGAGGAAUACCGAUGGCGAAGGCAGCCAUCUGGCCUAAUACUGACGCUGAGGUACGAAAGCAUGGGGAGCAAACAGGAUUAGAUACCCUGGUAGUCCAUGCCGUAAACGAUGUCUACUAGCCGUUGGGGCCUUUGAGGCUUUAGUGGCGCAGCUAACGCGAUAAGUAGACCGCCUGGGGAGUACGGUCGCAAGACUAAAACUCAAAUGAAUUGACGGGGGGCCCGCACAAGCGGUGGGAGCAUGUGGUUCAAUCUCGAUUGGCAACGCGAAGAACCUUAAACUGGCUUGAACAUACUAAAGAACUUUCCAGAAGAUGCGAUUGGUCGCCUUCGGGGAACUUACGAAUACCGGUGCCU
rnacentral:rRNA from 1 species